rnacentral:rRNA from 1 species
UACAGAGGUCUCAAGCGUUGUUCGGAUUCAUUGGGCGUAAAGGGUGCGUAGGCGGCGCGGUAAGUCGGGUGUGAAAUCUUGGAGCUUAACUCCGAAACUGCAUUCGAUACUGCCGUGCUUGAGGACUGGAGAGGAGACUGGAAUUUACGGUGUAGCGGUGAAAUGUGUAGAUAUCGUAAGGAAGACCAGUGGCGAAGGCGGGUCUCUGGACAGUUCCUGACGCUGAGGCACGAAGGUCAGGGGAGCAAACGGG